rnacentral:lncRNA from 1 species
AACCUUCUCCUGGAUAAGCUAUUAGCUCGAGAUGCUCAUGGCAGCUUUCCCAGACCUCAAUCUGUACUUAUAGCUCUUUCCUGAACCACUUCCAAUUUUCCUUUUUUUUUUUUUUUUUUUCCCCUCCUCCUACCCCAAUGUCUCUUCUGAAAUGGGGACAGCAGAAUGCGACAAUCACUGGUCAGGUCUCAAAUGCCAUAGGUGAAGGAAAUGCCAUCUUCCUUCCCACACCGUCUUGUUUCGUGGACCCGAGGGGUGGUGGUGGGAAUCCUACCGUUGGCUGUGACUCCAAGCACGUCUUGGGAUUUGAGGCUCUCUGGGAGAAACGAGAAACUCAAUAGAGACUAAAAUUCCAUAUAGGAGAUGUUGGUGAAAUGCUACUUCUCCACACCAUUCCAGUCGAAGUUAUGAGUGAAGCUUAACUGUUGCCAUUGCAUGUGUGACAAAGGGGAUGAGUUGUUUGUCCAUGGGACUCAGUCAACCAGUGCAGAACCAGAAAGUUACCCACAAUGACAUCAAGACAUCGUUCACCUCUUCCAGCUGAGGAGUCUCUUGUUCUCAUCACUAAUCAUGGUGGACUGUUUCCCGUGUUAUCCGAGGGACAGACCAUUGCCUGCUCCAUCCCUGAUGACAAAGGGGCACAGAUCUCCUGGCCACGUCUUUGCUCCGGACAAGUGAAGUCAAUGGGAUUGCAUCCUGCCUCUGAUCAGCUCCAAAGGGUGACAGAUCAGAGGGAGCUCCCAUCUCCUUGCACUGUCCUCAUCUGUCUCCUAUGCUCCUGCCUGGUCUUGCUCCAUCAAGACUUGCCUCCUCAGAGCAGCCAGUAUUCCAAGGCAGAUACUUCUCAGAAUUGAUUUAACCGAGUGACUUUCAACUGUUUCCAUUCUGGAAGGUCAGACGGUAAAAUAAAAAUAAAUUAUUGAAAAGAGAAAAAAAAAGAAAAAAAAGCAAAAAAAAAAAAAAAAAAAAAAGAAGGAAAGAAACGAAAUGAAAACUUUUGGGAAUAUUUUCUCAUCGUCGUUAUGAAAUCCUGUUUCCAUUUACCGCUGAAGAAAACUGAAGUUGGCUGGAAAAUAUUUGGGUCUUUUCUUUGCCGUUGUAUCAUCUCAGCAUUGGGUUUUUUUUUUGUUUGUUUGUUUGUUAAAAAUCUGUCAAAACUUGAGAGGAAAACUCUCGUUCUCCUGACAGUAAUUAGUCUGUUUUUCCCACCAGCAGAGACAACACAGCCCCGCAGGCUGUUCCAUCUAAUUAGACAACCCACUUUUUUUGGACCCAAUUAACAUAUUUAAUGGGAAAUGUGACCAACUUAACAUUCCUCCC